rnacentral:rRNA from 1 species
AGAGUUUGAUCAUGGCUCAGAUUGAACGCUGGCGGCAGGCCUAACACAUGCAAGUCGAGCGGUAGCACAGAGAGCUUGCUCUCGGGUGACGAGCGGCGGACGGGUGAGUAAUGUCUGGGAAACUGCCUGAUGGAGGGGGAUAACUACUGGAAACGGUAGCUAAUACCGCAUAAUGUCGCAAGACCAAAGUGGGGGACCUUCGGGCCUCAUGCCAUCAGAUGUGCCCAGAUGGGAUUAGCUAGUAGGUGGGGUAACGGCUCACCUAGGCGACGAUCCCUAGCUGGUCUGAGAGGAUGACCAGCCACACUGGAACUGAGACACGGUCCAGACUCCUACGGGAGGCAGCAGUGGGGAAUAUUGCACAAUGGGCGCAAGCCUGAUGCAGCCAUGCCGCGUGUGUGAAGAAGGCCUUCGGGUUGUAAAGCACUUUCAGCGGGGAGGAAGGCGGUAAGGUUAAUAACCUCAGCGAUUGACGUUACCCGCAGAAGAAGCACCGGCUAACUCCGUGCCAGCAGCCGCGGUAAUACGGAGGGUGCAAGCGUUAAUCGGAAUUACUGGGCGUAAAGCGCACGCAGGCGGUCUGUCAAGUCGGAUGUGAAAUCCCCGGGCUCAACCUGGGAACUGCAUUCGAAACUGGCAGGCUAGAGUCUUGUAGAGGGGGGUAGAAUUCCAGGUGUAGCGGUGAAAUGCGUAGAGAUCUGGAGGAAUACCGGUGGCGAAGGCGGCCCCCUGGACAAAGACUGACGCUCAGGUGCGAAAGCGUGGGGAGCAAACAGGAUUAGAUACCCUGGUAGUCCACGCCGUAAACGAUGUCGAUUUGGAGGUUGUGCCCUUGAGGCGUGGCUUCCGGAGCUAACGCGUUAAAUCGACCGCCUGGGGAGUACGGCCGCAAGGUUAAAACUCAAAUGAAUUGACGGGGGCCCGCACAAGCGGUGGAGCAUGUGGUUUAAUUCGAUGCAACGCGAAGAACCUUACCUGGUCUUGACAUCCACAGAACUUACCAGAGAUGCAUUGGUGCCUUCGGGAACUGUGAGACAGGUGCUGCAUGGCUGUCGUCAGCUCGUGUUGUGAAAUGUUGGGUUAAGUCCCGCAACGAGCGCAACCCUUAUCCUUUGUUGCCAGCGGUUAGGCCGGGAACUCAAAGGAGACUGCCAGUGAUAAACUGGAGGAAGGUGGGGAUGACGUCAAGUCAUCAUGGCCCUUACGACCAGGGCUACACACGUGCUACAAUGGCAUAUACAAAGAGAAGCGACCUCGCGAGAGCAAGCGGACCUCAUAAAGUAUGUCGUAGUCCGGAUUGGAGUCUGCAACUCGACUCCAUGAAGUCGGAAUCGCUAGUAAUCGUAGAUCAGAAUGCUACGGUGAAUACGUUCCCGGGCCUUGUACACACCGCCCGUCACACCAUGGGAGUGGGUUGCAAAAGAAGUAGGUAGCUUAACCUUCGGGAGGGCGCUUACCACUUUGUGAUUCAUGACUGGGGUGAAGUCGUAACAAGGUAACCGUAGGGGAACCUGCGGUUGGAUCACCU